rnacentral:lncRNA from 1 species
UAUGUAAUCAAAUAUAAAAAUCUUGAUAAUUCAAAACAGUAAAGAGACACAUCGGGAUUUGACAUGAAAUCUGUAUGUGUUACUCUAUUUUUGGUAUUGACUGUUGGUAUGUAUGGAUUUUUUAAGUAAAGAUACUUGUUAUAUUUACCGUUUUCAAAUCUGAACAUCUUUGUUUGUUUGUUAUAUUUACCAAUGUCAAAUCUGAACAGAUUUAUUUUCGAGGAUAAUUUUAAAAAGUGGAGCCACAUGGGCAAGUGUUUCUUCUUAUUGUUUAAAAGUUGGUAAAAGGGACGGGAGUGUAUACUUAAGUGAGACAGCUUUCAAUUGAAAUGUUGAAACCGAAAGACAGUAUGUCUUUUUAGCUCACCUGGCUCCAAGCAUUUAAAGCAAACCCGACAUGUGUAAAAUUGUUCAUCAGGUCAAGAAAUAUCAGCCCUGAAAUUUUCAGAAAAUCGGACAGUCCGUUGUUGGGUUGCUGCCUCUGUACUUGGUGAUUUAAAUAGUAUUAUAGAAAGAGAGAUAAACACUAAGCAGCAAUUAUAUGCAGCACAGUAAGAUCAACAUAUAAGUCAACAUGAGUUUAUUAUGAACCGGCCUUCCAACCAGUAUGCAUAGUCUAAAUUGCCUAUUAUCAUACUAACUAUGAUAUUUAGAGAGAAACAUUUUUAUGCCCCACCUACGAUAGUAGAGGGGCAUUAUGUUUUCUGGUCUGUGCGUCCGUUCGUUCGUCCGUCCGUCCGUCCGUCUGUCCCGCUUCAGGUUAAAGUUUUUGGUCGAGGUAGUUUUUGAUGAAGUUGAAGUCCAAUCAACUUCAAACUUGGUACACAUGUUCCCUAUGAUAUGAUCUUUCUAAUUUUAAUGCCAAAUUAGAGAUUUUACCCCAAUUUCACGGUCCACUGAACAUAGAAAAUAAUAGUGCGAGUGGGGCAUUCGUGUACUGAGGACACAUUCUUGUUUUUUGUAUGAUUUAAAUCAAUAUAGAUAAAUGAUCGCUGUAAAUCACAAAUUUAUCUGCAGGACAAAAUCUAGUAAAGUCAAAUAUUGCCGAUAUAGUUAGUAGACUGUUAAUGUAGUAGGACUGCCAAUGAGACAACUUUCCAUCAGAGUUCAAAUGAAGUGGAUGUAAGCAAUCAUAGGCAACCAUAUACGAAAAACCCAUACCGUUUAGUCGGCUAUAAAAGGCCCCGCCAUGAAAGAUAUGAAACAAAUCAAUUGAGAAAACCAACCGUCUAAUGUAUAACAAAACAAUUUACGAAAAACAAAUAUAACAGACAUAAAUGAACCGAGGACAACCACUGAACUAUAGGCUCCUGACUGGUGCAAAUAAGAAAUUAGUCUAGAAAACAUAUGGAGAACGCAUUUAAUAGUUUGUGGGCAUUUGAUAUAAAAAAAUAUAAUGACUGACACCUUUAAUUGUAUCAGUUUAUUUUUUUACCAUAGUGGUUUUUGUUGUUCAAUAAUUACUACAGGUGUGGUCUGUUUUCAGAUUCCGUACACAGUAUAUGUCCAUUCGGCUGGAUUAGAUUCAGCUCUUCGUGUUAUUUGUUCCACAGGUCGCUGUCGACAUGGAUUGAUUCUUCC